CCUCAUUUAAUCCAACUGGUGACAGGGUUUUGAGCUUAUAAAUCCAGAAGCUCUCUCUUUGAAGUAGUCUUUUAUCUAAAUCUCCCCCUCUUGGUCCAAGUGUGACUUUUUCGAUGCCACAGAAACUGAUCCCUAGUGGGGACCCCCCGUGAUGGGACUUCAGAUGUUUAGAGAUAGGGGUAUCUAUUUGUCUUCCGGGGUUAACUGAAUUGACAUGUUCCCUAAUUCUAAAUUUGAAUUUACGAAAGGUUUUUCCCACGUAUAGCUUGUUGCAUGAGCAUAUAAGUAAAUAUACAAGUCCCUUGGACUGACAAUUGAAGAAAUUACGAACUUUAAAUUCUUGUACACCCAAGGAAUCUGAGAAUGUUUUGGAGGGUCUAUGUAUGAAUUUACACGCCUUGCAUCUACCGCAUUGGUAAGUGCCUAGGACAGGGGACUUCAGCCAUGAGGUUUUUGGAGCUGCUGUUUUAAGGUGAC